CAAUCUUCAACAUCUUUAGCUACUUCCAUUUUGGUGUCUUCUUACAUAAUAACAGUGCCAAAACAGCAGUAUGAGUUCCCUAUCCUCCCUUGGGUGAAAAUGGUGACAAACAAGGAAGAAAAGGAAGUGGUGGAGCUUGUUGGAUACAUACUUGAUCAUAUCCUUUACUCUCACCCUUCCUAAACUCUCCUUAAACCCUACAGGUACACGCAGCUUUAAUCCCUUCUUAUCUUCUACUUUAUUUUUAGCACAAU